UACAGAGGGGGCAAGCGUUGUUCGGAAUUACUGGGCGUAAAGGGCUCGUAGGCGGCCAACUAAGUCGGACGUGAAAUCCCCAGGCUCAACCUGGGAACUGCGUCUGAUACUGGAUGGCUUGAAUCCGGGAGAGGGAUGCAGAAUUCCAGGUGUAGCGGUGAAAUGCGUAGAUAUCUGGAGGAAUACCGGUGGCGAAGGCGGCAUCCUGGACCGGCAUUGACGCUGAGGAGCGAAAGCCAGGGGAGCAAACGGG
rnacentral:rRNA from 1 species